GACGUAGGGCGCGAGCGUUGUCCGGAUUUAUUGGGCGUAAAGAGCUCGUAGGCGGCUUGUCGCGUCGACUGUGAAAACCCGUGGCUCAACCAUGUGGUCUGCAGUCGAUACGGGCAGGCUAGAAUUCGGUAGGGGAGACUGGAAUUCCUGGUGUAGCGGUGAAAUGCGCAGAUAUCGGGAAGAACACCCGUGGCGAAGGCGGUUCUCUGGGACGGUACUGACGCUGAGACGCGAAAGCGUGGGGAGCAAACAGG
rnacentral:rRNA from 1 species